GUAGGGAAUAUUGGGCAAUGGAGGCAACUCUGACCCAGCCAUGCCGCGUGCAGGAAGACGGUCCUCUGGAUUGUAAACUGCUUUUGAAUGGGAAGAACACUACCCUUGCGAGGGUAUUUGACGGUACUAUUAGAAUAAGCACCGGCUAACUCCGUGCCAGCAGCCGCGGUAAUACGGAGGGUGCAAGCGUUAUCCGGAUUUAUUGGGUUUAAAGGGUGCGUAGGCGGCUUGAUAAGUCUGGGGUUAAAGGCGGCAGCUUAACUGUACGCAUGCCCUAGAUACUGUUGAGCUUGAGUGACCUGGAGGUAGCUGGAAUUCCCUGUGUAGCGGUGAAAUGCAUAGAUACGGGGAGGAAUACCGAUUGCGAAGGCAUGUUACUACGGGUAAACUGACGCUGAUGCACGAACGCGUGGGGAUCAAACAGGAUUAGAUACCCCAGUAGUCC
rnacentral:rRNA from 1 species